UUGCACCCAGGCGUCGAGCGGCGGACGGGUGAGUAAUGCAUAGGAAUCUGCCCAGUAGUGGGGGAUAGCCCGGGGAAACCCGGAUUAAUACCGCAUACGCCCUUUGGGGGAAAGCAGGGGAUCUUCGGACCUUGCGCUAUUGGAUGAGCCUAUGUCGGAUUAGCUUGUUGGUGGGGUAACGGCUCACCAAGGCAACGAUCCGUAGCUGGUCUGAGAGGAUGAUCAGCCACAUCGGGACUGAGACACGGCCCGAACUCCUACGGGAGGCAGCAGUGGGGAAUAUUGGACAAUGGGGGCAACCCUGAUCCAGCCAUGCCGCGUGUGUGAAGAAGGCUUUCGGGUUGUAAAGCACUUUCAGUGAGGAGGAAAACCUUACGACUAAUACUCGUGAGGCUUGACGUUACUCACAGAAGAAGCACCGGCUAACUCCGUGCCAGCAGCCGCGGUAAUACGGAGGGUGCAAGCGUUAAUCGGAAUUACUGGGCGUAAAGCGCGCGUAGGUGGUUUGAUAAGCGAGAUGUGAAAGCCCCGGGCUUAACCUGGGAACGGCAUUUCGAACUGUCAGGCUAGAGUGUGGUAGAGGGUAGUGGAAUUUCCUGUGUAGCGGUGAAAUGC
rnacentral:rRNA from 1 species